UGAUACCAGGGGAUAAAAGUCAGAAGUCUGACGCAAGCUUGCUUGCAGGAAGACUUCUGACCUUUAUCCCCGCCAAAACAUGAGUAAGUAGCCAUUUUACGAAGAAAAAUGAGCGGAUUACGAAUGUUUUGAGGAUUGUGAGAGCACGAAAGUGCGGAACAAUCCGGUAUCA
rnacentral:sRNA from 10 species